UUUUUUUCUGGAUCUGUUUUCAUAAUGGUUGUAAGUGAAUAAGAUUAUUUUUAGAAUAAAAGUGUAAAGUGAUGCUUGAUUCGAUCAUAAUUUCUUAGAGACUGUAAUUACAUAAUCCUUCGAAAUCAAGAGUGCAUCUAUCUUAAAUGUGCAUUUUGAGAAAACAAAAUUUCAAAUUUUAAUCCGAAGGAAAACACCUGUGAACGAUCUUAGGGAAAUUGUCAUAUUUUUAAACA